rnacentral:rRNA from 1 species
UGGGGAAUUUUGGACAAUGGGCGAAAGCCUGAUCCAGCAAUGCCGCGUGUGUGAAGAAGGCCUUCGGGUUGUAAAGCACUUUUGUCCGGAAAGAAAUCCUUGGCUCUAAUACAGUCGGGGGAUGACGGUACCGGAAGAAUAAGCACCGGCUAACUACGUGCCAGCAGCCGCGGUAAUACGUAGGGUGCAAGCGUUAAUCGGAAUUACUGGGCGUAAAGCGUGCGCAGGCGGUUUGCUAAGACCGAUGUGAAAUCCCCGGGCUCAACCUGGGAACUGCAUUGGUGACUGGCAGGCUAGAGUAUGGCAGAGGGGGGUAGAACUCCACGUGUAGCAGUGAAAUGCGUAGAGAUGUGGAGGAAUACCGAUGGCGAAGGCAGCCCCCUGGGCCAAUACUGACGCUCAUGCACGAAAGCGUGGGGAGCAAACAGGAUUAGAUACCCUGGUAGUCCACGCCCUAAACGAUGUCAACUAGUUGUUGGGGAUUCAUUUCCUUAGUAACGUAGCUAACGCGUGAAGUUGACCGCCUGGGGAGUACGGUCGCAAGAUUAAAACUCAAAUGAAUUGACGGGGUCAUA